rnacentral:rRNA from 1 species
GCUUCCUACGGGAGGCAGCAGUGGGGAAUAUUGGACAAUGGGGGCAACCCUGAUCCAGCGACGCCGCGUGGGUGAAGAAGGCCUGCGGGUUGUAAAGCCCUUUCGGUUGGGAAGAAAAGUUGCGACCUAACACGUCGCGACCUUGACGUAACCAACUAAAGAAGCACCGGCUAACUCUGUGCCAGCAGCCGCGGUAAUACAGAGGGUGCGAGCGUUAAUCGGAAUUACUGGGCGUAAAGCGCGCGUAGGCGGCUUUUCAAGUCGAUUGUGAAAUCCCCGGGCUCAACCUGGGAACUGCAGUCGAGACUGUCUAGCUAGAGUAUGGGAGAGGGAAGUGGAAUUUCAGGUGUAGCGGUGAAAUGCGUAGAUAUCUGAAGGAACAUCAGUGGCGAAAGCGACUUCCUGGACCAAUACUGACGCUCAUGUGCGAAAGCGUGGGGAGCAGACAGGAUUAGAUACCCUGGUAGUCCACGCCAUAAACGAUGAGAACUGGAUGUCGGAGGGGUCUGCCCUUCGGUGUCGUAGCUAACGCGUUAAGUUCUCCGCCUGGGGAGUACGGCCGCAAGGUUGAAACUCAAAGGAAUUGACGGAAGC